rnacentral:rRNA from 1 species
UACGUAGGGGGCGAGCGUUGUCCGGAUUUAUUGGGCCUAAAGCAUCCGUAGCCGGCUCUGUAAGUUUUCGGUUAAAUCUAUAUGCUCAACGUAUAGGCUGCCGAAAAUACUGCACAGCUAGGGAAUGGGAGAGGUAGACGGUACUCGGUAGGAAGGGGUAAAAUCCUUUGAUCUAUCGAUGACCACCUGUGGCGAAGGCGGUCUACCAGAACAUGUUCGACGGUGAGGGAUGAAAGCUGGGGGAGCAAACCGG